GACAGAGGCCCCAAGCGUUACUCGGAAUUACUGGGCGUAAAGCGUGCGUAGGUGGUUUGUUAAGUCUGUUGUGAAAGCCCCGGGCUCAACCUGGGAAUGGCAAUGGAUACUGGCAAGCUAGAGUGCGGUAGAGGGUAGUGGAAUUCCCGGUGUAGCGGUGAAAUGCGUAGAGAUCGGGAGGAACACCAGUGGCGAAGGCGGCUACCUGGACCAGCACUGACACUGAGGCACGAAAGCGUGGGAGCAAACAGG
rnacentral:rRNA from 1 species